CAGCAGCCACGGGAAUACGGAGGGUGCGAGCGUUAAUCGGAAUUACUGGGCGUAAAGGGUGCGUAGGUGGUUAAUUAAGUUGUCUGUGAAAUUCCUGGGCUUAACCUGGGCAGGUCAGAUGAUACUGGUUGACUCGAGUAUAGGAGAGGGUAGUGGAAUUUCCGGUGUAGCGGUGAAAUGCGUAGAGAUCUGGAGGAAUACCGAUGGCGAAGGCAGCCAUCUGGCCUAAUACUGACGCUGAGGUACGAAAGCAUGGGGAGCAAACAGGAUUAGAUACCCGAGUAGUCCCUGUCUCUUAUAC
rnacentral:rRNA from 1 species